rnacentral:lncRNA from 1 species
GUUCAUAUCCUGCCUGAGCCUGGGCCGGGUGGAGGUGUCCUGCAUGGAGUCUUGUGAAAUCGCGUGGACUGCAACACCCAGCAGCGCGGUGAGUCCACCCUGAAAUCCACAGUGACCCACGCGGCAUGUGCUGGGAAUUGAACGCUUGGGGAAAGAGCUGGGCUCCAGCGGAUCAGCCCCGACCAAGUCGUUCCCACAGCUCAGGACCGGACGCUACAAGCCCACUUUGUAGCAGUUUGGCGGACGGCAAACUUUUGCAACACAGUGCAAAAACCAUUUAACACCUUUAAGGGAAUUGGAAAUGGGUUUUUCAUGUGUGGUGGUGCUGAAAAUUGAGAAUAAUGACAGAAUUAUUAAAAACAGCCUUCUCGGCCUUAGACUCUUAA